AUGUUAUCAUCUCUCAGUACUCAAGUGAGCCUAAUGAUGGUAAACCAGAAGCACUGUCACGAGAUUUUGCACCAGUGUUAUUCAGUCCUUGUCCAGAACUUGGACCAAGGGGUUCAAUGGCUUGUUCUCCCAUUCUUGGAAUAUCUUUUAGGAGAAAGUAUUCUAAGGUACCAAACAUUAUUGACAAUGAUAUAA